ensembl:snRNA U4 U4 spliceosomal RNA
AGCUUUGCACAGUGGCAGUAUUGUAGCCAAUGAGGUUUAUCCAAGGUGCAAUUAUCGUUAAUUAAAACUUUUCACAAUAAUUUGCUGUUAUGACUUGCAAUAUAGUUAGCAAUGGCCAUCUUUGACCGUCUCUACAGAGA